CGUCCCUGCCUCCCUCCUCCCGGUCCCCUCCCUCGUUCGCUCCCUGCCCACUCCCGCGGGGACGCUCCGUGGCGCGGCUUCUUCACACUUUAGUUGGGAGCCGCGCGCCGCGCUCAGUUACUGGAGAGCUGGCCGCGCGCCGCCGCCCCCCGCUCGCACGCACGCGGGCCCGGCCUCGGGGGGUUCGGCUUCUACUCCCAGCAGCAGGGAGGAGGGGGAGCCGCGGACACCCUGUGGGGAGGAGGAGGAGGAGGAGGGAGGAAGAGAAAAGGCGAGGAGGAGAGGGCGGGGGGCGGGGGGCGGGGGGCUCGCCACCUUCAGCUCCCCCGCGAGCGCCCAAGGGCUUUUCUCCACUGGGACUCCACGCAUGGACCCUUCCACCCCAAGGACAGCAGUGUGAGCGAGCACCCUGGGAGUAAAACACAUUUCCUCGAGUGGAUUGGAAGUCAUCACUGCGUUUCUGAAGACAUUUAGCCACAGAUUUAAUUCAAAAUCCUGUUGGUGUGCGCAGCUUGACCAACUCAGCAGCAAGGUGGAUUCUCUUUGUGUUUAAAGAAACAAAAAGAUGUUCCCGUGUCUGUAGAGAUGAUUUGCAGUUCAGCCCGGCUGAAGCUGACCGAAUGAGACUAUGGGCUGUGCCUCCGCCAAGCAUGUUGCUACUGUUCAAAAUGAAGAGGAAGCCCAGAAAGGGAAGAGCUACCAGAACAGAGAUGCAUUUGGCGAUGAGUAUAGGAUCAAACCAGUGGAAGAGGUCAAAUACAUGAAAAAUGGGGCAGAAGAGGAGCAGAAAAUAGCAGUGAGGAACCAAGAAAACUUGUCCAGCCACAGGGAUCAUAGCAGCAUGUGUUGAUAUGGAGAAGCCACAAAUUUCAAACAGCCUGGAACGUUGCCUCAACAGAUGGAGAGCAGCUGCCCAGGAAAGACACCAGGACUGCAGACUUUGAAUAGCCAGAAAUAAAUAAACUGAGACCAAUCCAGAUGUAGACUUGCCCAAGGUCAAACAGUGAGUGUUUGGUACAGUCGGAACUCAGCGUUAGGUCUUCUGACUUCAGAUCCAAAUAUCUUAGUAAUCUUUCCAUGACAUUCUAUUGCCUCAAAAUGUCUAAUAAUGAGAACAGGCAACUGCAGUUUCCUAUUGCUUCAUGCUGUGAUUUGCAGGACCAGCCUCUUCAUGCGUCAGAACCCAUUUACAUGUAUCACCUUUCCACACUCUGGCGCCCUGUCGUUCAUCUCCCAAAGGAAGCACAUCUUCCAGUUCUCCAUACAGCUCCUAACAUGUCAAAUGAGUUAGUACAUGUGCAGUGAUGGGCACUGUAGUGAACUGAAUUGUGUCCCCCAAGUUUUAUGUCUUAGAAACAGCCCCCACUGUGACUAUUAAGAGGGUGGGAAAUCCUAUUAUGGUAAUUGAAAGGUGGAGCCUUGAAGAGGCGAUUGGGUUGUGGAACUGUGCAGUAGUGAAUGGAUUAAACAUGGUGGUCAGGGGUGUGGUUCUGAGGGCUUUAAAAGAAGAGAGUUUGUCUCUCCUGCUCUCUCUGCUUCCACCAUCUAACAGUGUGAGACCCCUGGGUCACUGUUGCCACCACCAGAUGGACUUUGGACUUCCUGACCUCAGAAACUGUAAGCAAUAAAUUUUGUUUUCUUUACAAA